CCUAGGGAGCUGCAGUGGGGAAUAUUGGACAAUGGGCGAAAGCCUGAUCCAGCCAUGCCGCGUGUGUGAAGAAGGCCUUCGGGUUGUAAAGCACUUUCAGUGGGGAAGAAAGCCUUGGGGCUAAUACCCUCGAGGAAGGACAUCACCCACAGAAGAAGCACCGGCUAACUCCGUGCCAGCAGCCGCGGUAAUACGGAGGGUGCGAGCGUUAAUCGGAAUUACUGGGCGUAAAGCGCGCGUAGGCGGUCUGAUAAGCCGGUUGUGAAAGCCCCGGGCUCAACCUGGGAACGGCAUCCGGAACUGUCAGGCUAGAGUGCAGGAGAGGAAGGUAGAAUUCCCGGUGUAGCGGUGAAAUGCGUAGAGAUCGGGAGGAAUACCAGUGGCGAAGGCGGCCUUCUGGACUGACACUGACGCUGAGGUGCGAAAGCGUGGGUAGCAAACAGGAUUAGAUACCCCAGUAGUC
rnacentral:rRNA from 1 species